rnacentral:lncRNA from 1 species
AGGAUACAGUCUUGGCCUGAGUGAAGAGGUUUAGUGAGAAUAGAGAGGUCAGCUAGGCCAGAGGGAGGGUCUUGGGAGGAAUAGCUGAAAAUACAACUGGAGGGGUUGGUUGGGGGCAUAUUGUGGAAGGUCUUGAGGGCUCAGAUGAGAGCCUUUUUGUAUCUCUUAAACUGAUGGCUUAUGAAUGGCUGGAAGCCAUUCAAAGUGCAUAGAAAGAGAGUGGCAAGAGGAAGCCAGUUCCUAGGAAAUUAACAUAGGCAAGCCUGUGCAAAAAGGAAUGGAACUGGGGAGCCUGCAGGGGCAAGAAGAAGGGACCUAGUCCAUGUGGAAUGUUUCCUAUGUGUCAAGUACUUAGUAUUUAGCCUACGUUAUGACAGCUAAUUCUCCGUAGAGCCCUGAAAGAUCUGUGCAGUUAUCAUCUCUGGUUUAUAAAUGACUAAAAUGAGACACAGUGAGGUUAAACAUGUUUCUCAAGGUUACCUGACUAAAACCAAAAAAGCUGAGUUUCAAACUCCCACAACCUAACACCAAAGCUCGCUUUCUUAACCACUAUGCUCGACUGCCUUUAUAUCAUGGGUCAUGCAAAAUCCAACCUAAGUCUAAGAGAUAUUUAACCUCAUCUGAGACAUCUAUCAGGUUGGAAAACAUUUAGGGCUCUUCCCUGAAAGAUGCCACUGUGCUCAAAAUAGGCAAUGUCUCUAAACGAAUAAUUAGAGAGGCAUUCUCAGUGUUAGAAGUGUGGAAAGCUGAGGACCAUGCCUGGCUUGUGAAUUCAGAGGCUAUAGUAAUAAAUACUUGAUAGUGUUUAUUCUUUUAAGAGGCUGAUGGGAAUCACAGUGGCCCUCAGGAGAGAGAAGCCAUCAGAGAAGGGCAGCAGUGGUGCCAAUGCUAAACACCUCCAUCAUCUCUUCCUUGAAAGGCAGGGAGGGCAUAAAUACCUUGCUGCCACACUGGAGGCGCUCAGGAAGACCUGGAAUAAUUGGAGAGAAAGCACUCCUAAAAGCAAGUAGAAACUGCCUGCAGCUCUUUUGGUGUGGUUGGAUGUGGUUGCAGAUUUAUCUGGCUUAUCUUCUCAGGCAUAGAAUAAUUGCUGUCCUGCAGGGCAAGCUCCGAAGAGAUUUCCCCAGAAGCAAGCAGAGUCCUGUCUAAAGCAGAAAUAGCCAUGGCAUAGCAGCAGCACCACCCCGCGGAGUUAGCUACUAGCGCUGUCACGCAUGUUGGAGCUACUGCAGGAAGAGGUGGCAGCAUGGGGGGAAAGAAUGGGAGGUAUCAGGUCUGCAUGGAAGAAAACUGGAAACAAAGCCACUGGCUCGUGAGAGUUUGAAGCUCAUGAGAAUUUAGGGAAAACUUCCACAUACACGGCUCUGUACUCUUCAGCUUUCAGAGCUCCAGAAGAUCAGAGUCCAGGGUGGAAUCUGUCAUUGAGAGAAGAGACUUGGAAGACAGUGGCUGCAGGGAGGAAAGUGAUGGCAUUGUAGUGAUGGAGAGCUUAGCCCUUGUCUGAAUGAGGCUCUGACAGGUGUGGUCACCUAUGACAAACCCGUGGGUAAUGUAUACAAGAAGGCUGAUAGUUGUGGCACUGAGCCAUCUUCUAAAAAGACCACAUUUGAAGGGAAGAAGAAACCUUGCUCAGUGAGAUUAAUCAAGCAAGGACUUCUUGGUUAGGGAAGGCAAACUGUUUUGAUGCAUUGGUCAGGAUAGGCUAGGUUGUGCUGCAGUAACAAGCUAUCCCCAGACUUCAGCAGUUUUUAACAUAAAUGUUCCUUUCUCACUCAUCCAAAGCACCUUUCUGGGCAAGGACUCUGUUUUUCAUAUUCCAUCAGGGACCCAGCAUCUGGGAUGUCACCAGUUGCUGAGUCAAGGCAAGAAAGAACUAAGUGUCCUGGGCUUUAACGGGAAGUGAUAUCACUUCUAGCCACGGAUUGGAACUAGUCACAUGGACCCAAUUAAUGCAAGGGCAGCUGGAAGGUGUCAAGGAGCAGAGUGGGGUCUGGUGAGCACCACCUUCUCUGGCGUGCUUAGCAGAGUCUGGUGUCUGUCAUUCCAAGAAAUCUCUGACUGAGCUCCUAAGGAUCUAUGACUUAUGAGCCCCUGGGGGACUCCAAAUAAAAACUAAAAGAAUCAUUUUACUAAGAAUUCUGUGAGGCAUUGAGGUAGAGCCACACUGCCUGGACACUGCUUCUUUGGACAAGCCUCACACAAAGAGGGAAGAUGCAUGCCCUCUUCCUCAGAAACAACUGUACAUCAUGGCAUUCAACAUACCAGGAGCAGUGGCACCAGUGAUCCCCAACAGAAUGCCACUAGCCUUCUCAGAGCAGAGGCAGAGCCUGGCAUAAAUGGAUGUGUCUGUUUGAGUGUUGGCAGCACAUGAGAGCCCCACUGGGUCUGAUUGUGCCUGGGGACUAUUUCAGAAAGCUAAGAUCUUUGUUAUGCAUGUGGAGAACAAGAGCUGGAGAUGGUGACCUCCUAUUGAGUCUAAUAAGACUGGUAACACUGAUUGGAUUAUGUCCAUAUUACAGAUGAGGACCUUGAGGUUUGGGGAAAUUAACGGCCUUUCCAAAGUCACCUGGUUAAUGCAUGGCAGAGCCAGAGCCUGUUGACCCUAUUGCAUGAUUUGAAAUCAUCAUGUUUGGGAGGCAUGCACUGUGUAAGAAGACAAGGAACUGGAGCCAGGAUGCCAACUUCCUGAGUGACCUUGGGCACAUUAUUUGAGGGCCUCCAUUUCUCUAUUUGUAAAGAGUAAAGCUGGAUGAGAUGUCUCAAAGUCUUUUCUGUUCCCACU